GUGUGGGUCCUGGGUGCAUUUUUUACCAGCGUUAUUAUGGGAGGGGUGAAGGCCUCCAGGUGAAGGGGGUCUCAGGUCCACCAGGUCUGAAAAAGAGCCAGCCGCUUUAAGGCUGGCCUUUUAAGGGAUUAUUUCCAGAAUUCCCGGAAGGUGACCAGGCUGCGUGCUCCAUCUCCCGCACCCGCAGCGAGGGGGGCCAGGCUACCCGCCCGCCCGCGGGGCCCCACCACCUGGACACGACGCCCUGGCCGCAGGCCGGCUCUGCGGCUCGGGGACCCCGGCACUCCCUGGACAGGUGGUUAGCGGUCGUGACGCCCUGGACGAGGCUCCCUGGGCCUUUCUAGACUCUUCGCAGGAGCUCCCGCAAGCUCGCUCGGUUUCCCGGACGGCCGUGCAGGGGCUUGCACAGGGCUCGUUGCGUCUCGAAGGAUGGUCCCGGUUUGCGGGCCAGCCGCCUUCAGGCCACGUCCCCAGCGUCCGCGCCCUGCGCUUUCCUGGGGGAGCUCCGCUCCUGGCAGGAGGUUUUCUGUUUUCCCUUUCCUUUCGGGCUCCAUCUUCACCCUAAUAAUCCGGGAUAAAUGGAAGAGCUGGCUAAUGGUUAUUAACAUCAGAGCGGCAGAGGCAAAGAGGAUAAUUGGCCUGAGCCUCAAAGUAGUCUUCGCCUUGAUCCUGAGGCAGAAGGUUAAGGAAGGCUGGUGGUUUGCUUUCACCCCUUGCUAGAGGGAGCUCAAGGUUGGCUGUGUUAAGACUGGCCUUCGCUGAGUUGUGUGAGGGGCUGGCCCUCAACUUUUUCCGGACCUGCCCCAAAUGCAUCAUCGUGAUUCACGGGUGGGCAGGGUAGAAGGGCAGCACACAGAGUUCCCUAGAACUAAAAGGGGGGGGGGACACAGCGCUGUCUACAACUAAAAGGGGGGGGGGACACAGCGCUGUCUACGUAGCACCCUUACUCACUCGCCUUCCCUCUUCCUUCUCUACCUCGUCUCUCUUCUGUCCAUCUUGCCUUCUACUGGCUUUUGGGCAAAGUUCUAAUUGAAAUCUUUGCAUCUCUUUCUCUCUCUCUCAGGCCUACUUUCUUCUAGAAAAGACUCAUUCUUACAAAAAUCAUGAUAGUUUGACAAGCUGAGGGCAAUUACCUGAUCAAUAUCAGUCAGAAUGAGAAGCCCAUGAUGGAUGCCCCUUUGGAUUGAAAGAAAAGCAGCAGAGACAGAUUAAAUUAAGCUCAUCUCAUUUGGCCCACCACCAGAAGCUCCUGAAGCAAGGUAAUUUGACCUUUAAAAACAUGGAGAGACCCUCUGCAUCACCCCAGUAUGAAGAAAGCUCUCAGACAGGGUAAUUAGAAAAUUUCAGUAAUUGCUGGCUUUGCAAGUAAGAAUUUUUUUUCCAAGUCUUUCUGGAGCUCAAACUAGAAACUAAAGGUAAGGCGUGAGCCCAGUUCUUCAGUUCGUGUUGAGCUGGGGGUGGCUGAGCAGGGAGGAUAUUCCACGAGACAAAGUGGCCAUAGGACAGAGUGGAAGCACGUCAUUGCUGCGCUUCAGAUACUGUAACUCCUAGCCUUUUCAACUUGGCUGGUUAAUAAACGUUUUAAUUAUACUUUUAGCUUGAUACUUCUUCUAAAGCCAAAUAGCAAAUCUCUUUAGAUUGUGUUGUCAUUGGCUGUUAACAUAGCUAACAAAGCCAUAAAACUCAGGUAUUUAGCCAUCAUUACUUCUCUGUGGCUCGAAUCAUCAGAAUCCACAACUGCUCUCUCAGAGGAAUUAAUAUACACUCAGGUGGAAACAUCACUGCAAGGCGACCCCCGUCCAAUGACUCUACACGUUUUUAAUGAUUCUGCAGUUACAGAAACGACCCAUGAUUUACACGGCGAUCGCAGCCAUCUUCCUUCCUUGCUGACAUAGCCGAAGAUGUUCUCAACUCUUUCCUCUUCAUCUCAUGCAAAGAUCUGUGGCCCUGGAAACCACAGACCAAACACGCCAGGAUUAAACAUCCAGGGACCCAGCAUGAGACGCUCGGUCCAGAGAAGUCCAGAGUCAGAGAGACCCUUAAGAAAUCAUCAUUUGGGGAGUUCCCUGGUGGCCUAUCAGGUUAGGGAUCUGGCUUUGUCACUGUUGUGGGCUUGGGUCACUGCCAUGGUGUGGGUUUGACCCUCGGCUCAGGAACGUCAGCAUGCUGUGGGCGUGGCUUAAAAAAAAAAAAGAAGUUGUCUUUGUAUUCAGUGUCCUCAAACUUUAGAUACAUACGAAUUAUCCAGAAAGCCUGGGAAGCGUCCCCAGGGAUGGGCGUUUUUCACAGGUGCCCCCAGGUGAGGCUGUGCUCGUGGUCCAGAAACCACAGGUUAAGAAGCGGUAACUUUCGUUCUCCUUUCUGUUAGCCUCCUGGUGGUGUGGAAAGGGCACCAGCUUAAGGCGAUGAGACUCUAUCCUGUUUUGCACAGGCCCCCAUGGAAAUGGACUGAGCCUCGUUGAGUCAAAUAGCGCCGUCCACAGCUUUGACGUCCUGCCCCUUCCCUGUGAAGAACCGCCACCUCUUCCUCCAGCCGGUGUCCCUUUGUUUCUCCGGCCAGUCAGUUGAAAUGCAUUCUACCUGCGAAAGUGUUCCUAAGGAAAAUGGUGCAUUUUUAUUUGAUUUUUUUUUUUUACCGUUAAAUAUGCAUGCCUCCCUUAUUCACAUAUGAGAGCAGGCUUUCAGCGCCCCCCCUAAGUGUAGGGGGCUUCUUCCCGGGAAGAAGAGACAUUUGUAAAUUGGUUCAUUUUGCUCAGAGGUAAAGCCAAAGGGCUUUGAGGUCGUCGCCUCUCCUCUCCUCUCCUCCCUCAAGCCCGCCCCCGGCCUCCUCGUUAUUCCUCCCACGGGGCAGGCCCCUCCCCCUCUAGGGCCAGCUGUGUUCUCGGUUUGGGGUGCUCUCCUCCUAGGUACCCCGUGACGUCUCUGCUGGAAUUCCGUCUCCUCCCAACCUCCGCCUCUGUGCUCUUCAUCAUCGCAACAGCAUCUGGAUAUGUGUGUGUCCUCUUUUCCAUGGCACCUGUUUCCGUGUGACAUGCUAUUUAAUCUAUUUAAACGUAUCCUUGUUAUUUUCCGCUACUUGCUAAAUACAUUAGAAACUCCACAAAGGUUGGAAUUUUGUUUUUAGGCUAACGCAGACCAGGCAGCUCGGGCCGUGUCUGGGCAUAGUAACGACUUCAUCAGUUUUGCGGGAUGAGAGCAUAAAUGUCCAGUUGCUUAGGGUGGUCUUUUCACGAGCAUUUGCGUCACCGACUAAGACAGGCUGGAGGAGGCCACACUCAAGAAAAGUGGAAAUCCACUUUGUUUAGAUUCACCUAAAUUCGUAUAUGAUUCCGAAAGUGUAUUUGAAUAGUAGGUAUUCUAAGGGGAGCUUGGAUUACACUACAAAGAUUUUUAACUGCUCAGCUGGCUAUUUCAGACUCUUUCACAUGAAUAUUGAUUACGGUUGUAACUGCGGCCGACGACUCGGAGACACUAGCAAACGGCAGGGAAAUGGUUGGCUGUGUGAGAACCAUAAUUAAAGUUCCCCAGGUUGCAUUGGAAAUAUGGUUAGGGGAGUUCCUGUCCUGGCGCAGCAGACACGAAUCCGACCAGGAACCGUGAGGUUGCGGGCUUCGAUCCCUGGCCUUGCUCAGUGGGUUAAGGAUCUGGUGUUGCCGUGAGCUGUGCUGUAGGUCGCAGACAUGGCUCAGAUCUGGCGUUGCUGUGACUGUGGUGGAGGCCGGCAGCUGCAGCUCCGAUUAGAUCCCCUAGCCUGGGAACCUCCAUAUGCCGCAGGUGUGGCCCUAAAAAGACAAAAGACAAAAGACAAAAAAAAAAAAAAAAAAAAAA
rnacentral:lncRNA from 1 species